AUUCGCGGGCUGGGACAAAGGCGGCUGCAGCCGUGUCCAGCAGGCAGGGGACAGCCCCGCGCGGGCCCGACGCCCCCUCUGACCACCCGCCCGGGCUCGCGGGAGGGGAGAAAGGUACGACCGAGUCCCUGUUCGCAGGACAGGGGCCAACCUGUCCCCGCACGCGUCAGGACACCCGGUCCUGCUCCCAGCGCGGCCGGGAAGUUCUUUCGGGACCUGGGGCAAAAAAACCUUUCCACCUUCGGGACCCGAGUCUCCCAGUCGUCCAGAGGAGGACGGUCCCUCCCUGUCCCGCGAGCCCCGCAGCCCGCGCUCUCCGGGCAGGUACCCACCAGUAGCCGUCCGAGUUCUGGUCGGUGAUCACGCCGCGCCGAGAAUAGUACAUCCUGCUGGUGCCCCCGCCGCCGCUGGUCACCUCGUAGCGCAGGUCCGGGCCAGACUCGGCGCGGAUCAUGCGGCCCAGAGUGUUGAUCCGCGGGUGGGAGCCUCCGUUGCAGCUCAUGUCGGCGGGCAAUCGGGAGAGCGGCUCAGCGCCGAGGCAUAAGCGAGGCGGGCCGGCGCGGAGAAAGCGGAGGGGGCCAAGGAUAGGCGGACGGCCGGGGAACCGGGCGGGAGUGCGGAAGGCUCGCGAGGUCGCUGCUCGCUACCUGGGCCCUCCCGAGGCCGCUGCGAGCGCGGAGACGGCGACGGGCCGGGGGCAGGAGCGGGAGGAAAGCUGUGGCUCGGAGGGCGGCAAGGGCGCAGAGGAGCUGCGUCGGAGCUGGGUGUUGGUGUUGGUCGGCGGCGGAGCGAGUCUCCUCCCCGCUGGCACUGGGCGCCUAGGCCACACCUGGCCGGUUUCUUCCCAGGGUGGGGUGCGGCCGCCGCGCCUUCCCCGCCCCCCCGCGGGUGUCACCGACGCGCUCCGGCCGCCCCUCCCCACCUGCGCCCGCCGCCCGCGACUCCGCCCUGCGCCACCGAGGCCUGAGUAACACCGGGCGGGGCGGGGGCGGGGUCCCCGAGACCCAAGCGCCCUGGGCGAAGCCACCGCGGGGAGGACCUGCGCUCGCGGGGGCUGCUGCGCUCUGCGCUGGGGCCUCUCGGGCUGGGAAUGCGUGGCCCGGCUUUUGAGGAUUUCCUCGGUCCCCGGGCGGAAAUAGCUGGAAUGGAGGGGCCUCUCGAUUGGAGACUUACUGGUCAAAUAUUUACUUUUGUUGAUCACUGGAAACGCUACCUACCACGCAUUGACUAGGACCACAAAAACCACGACUUCCUGGAAAAGUCUUCACCGUAAAUAUUAAUCUCUUUGGCAUGAAGAGGAAAACACUGCAGCUAAUUUUUCAUGGGAUAACAAAAAUAUAAACUGCAAUUUCUUUUAUUUUUUCCCUUUCGAUGGUCUUUUUAAACGAGGAGUAAAGAUUUCAACGCCAGGUCCAUUUUCCAAAUUUUGUACCAGAACCUUGAGGAUGCUUGUCUCUCGCGCGCUUCUCCGCAGACCGAACCCUCUCCGGAACUCAGAGCUGUUCACCCAAGUCAGCGGAGGAGGCCUCCUGGGACUUGAGCCUGAGGGUGGCGAAGAACCCUAGGCAGAGAUCAUCAACUUGGUACCGAUGAGUGACGCGGAGCUUGAACAUUCCAGCGACUUGCUCCAGGGCCACUCCCAGUUAAGAGGCUGAGUGUUAACUGCAAGAGGCUGAGUGUUAACUACGCCGUUGGCUCCAGGAACCGAACCGGGUUUGGAUACAGACCCAGUCACACCAUCCAUGAAAAGCUGUUUCUAUAAUAUGAAAAAUUGUUAAAUGACGCUUUAGUAAAAGCCAUUUAAAGAUCUUUUCUAAUAAAUUUUUCAUCUUUCCAAACAAUGCCGCUAAUUACCUUCUGAUACAGUGCGUUUCCAAAAUGUUUAUGAACUGAAAACAAAAAUAAAAAACUACAUUUUUAUGUUGUAAAGGGAGUGGGGGGGACUUUCUAAAAUUUGUCGUAUUAUAGCACUUCUCAUGACAACUUGACCCUUUAGGCAUAAUUUUUGACAAAAUGUCUUGUUCUUUUUCUUUUUACAGCUGAACGUCUUAAAUUCAAGGAGUAAACACAUAUAAUGAGAUAAAAGUUUAUCACUGUUAGCACAACCAAUAAUUUGCAUCGUAGUCUCAAUUUCCUCGAAUCUUUAAUAAAACCAAAGUGGUCAAGUGUUUAAAUGAUUAUACAGAUUGAGUACCCCUUAUCCAAAAUGCUUGGGACCAGAAAUAUUUUGGAUUCUGGAUUUUCUUGGAUUUUGCAAUAGUUGCAUAGACGUAACGAGAGAUCUUUGGGGAUGGAACUCAAGCCUAAACAUGAAAUUUAUUUAUGUUUUCUAUAUGCCUUAUACACAUGGCCUGAAGGUAAUUUUAUACAAUAUUUUAGAUAAUUUUGUGCAUGAAACAAAGUUUUGAC
rnacentral:lncRNA from 1 species